ACACAUGCAAGUCGAACGGAAAGAGAUGAAAGAGCUUGCUCUUUUAUUAAUUUCAGUGGCAAACGGGUGAGUAACACGUAAACAACCUGCCUUAAGGAUGGGGAUAACAGACGGAAACGACUGCUAAUACCGAAUACGUUCUAAGCAUCGCAUGAUGCAUAGAAGAAAGGGUGGCCUCUACAAGAAAGCUAUCGCCUUAAGAGGGGUUUGCGACUGAUUAGGUAGUUGGUGAGGUAACGGCUCACCAAGCCGACGAUCAGUAGCCGGUCUGAGAGGAUGAACGGCCACACUGGAACUGAGACACGGUCCAGACUCCUACGGGAGGCAGCAGUGGGGAAUCUUCCGCAAUGGACGAAAGUCUGACGGAGCAACGCCGCGUGAACGAAGAAGGUCUUCGGAUUGUAAAGUUCUGUGAUUCGGGACGAAAGGGUUUGUGGUGAAUAAUCAUAGACAUUGACGGUACCGAAAAAGCAAGCCACGGCUAACUACGUGCCAGCAGCCGCGGUAAUACGUAGGUGGCAAGCGUUGUCCGGAAUUAUUGGGCGUAAAGCGCGCGCAGGCGGUUUCUUAAGUCCAUCUUAAAAGCGUGGGGCUCAACCCCAUGAGGGGAUGGAAACUGGGAAGCUGGAGUAUCGGAGAGGAAAGUGGAAUUCCUAGUGUAGCGGUGAAAUGCGUAGAGAUUAGGAAGAACACCGGUGGCGAAGGCGACUUUCUAGACGAAAACUGACGCUGAGGCGCGAAAGCGUGGGGAGCAAACAGGAUUAGAUACCCUGGUAGUCCACGCCGUAAA
rnacentral:rRNA from 1 species